AGUGGCGGACGGGUGAGUAACGCGUGAGAAUCUGCCUUGGGGUCGGGGACAACCACUGGAAACGGUGGCUAAUCCCGGAUAAGCCGAUUGGUGAAAGAUUUAUUGCCCGAAGAGGAGCUCGCGUCUGAUUAGCUAGUUGGUGAGGUAAGAGCUCACCAAGGCAGCGAUCAGUAGCUGGUCUGAGAGGACGAUCAGCCACACUGGGACUGAGACACGGCCCAGACUCCUACGGGAGGCAGCAGUGGGGAAUUUUCCGCAAUGGGCGAAAGCCUGACGGAGCAAGACCGCGUGAGGGAGGAAGGCUCUUGGGUUGUAAACCUCUUUUCUCAGGGAAGAAGCUCUGACGGUACCUGAGGAAUCAGCCUCGGCUAACUCCGUGCCAGCAGCCGCGGUAAUACGGAGGAGGCAAGCGUUAUCCGGAAUUAUUGGGCGUAAAGCGUCCGCAGGUGGCGAUUCAAGUCUGCUGUCAAAGCACGGGGCUUAACUCCGUAAAGGCAGUGGAAACUGAAUAGCUAGAGUGCCGUAGGGGUAGAGGGAAUUCCCGGUGUAGCGGUGAAAUGCGUAGAGAUCGGGAAGAACAUCGGUGGCGAAAGCGCUCUACUGGACGGCAACUGACACUCAGGGACGAAAGCUAGGGGAGCGAAUGGGAUUAGAUACCCC
rnacentral:rRNA from 1 species